rnacentral:lncRNA from 1 species
GUGAAAUUGGCUCUGUGAAUUAUCAAGGGUGAGUUGCGGUUCUAUUUGUUAGGGUAAAGUAUACGCCUCAGAAAGUGUUCAAUGAGCUGGAAACACAAAGCAAAGAUCAGCCAUGAGUACCAUCUUUCUCUAAUCCCAGGUUCUCUAGAAAGAUGAGCCUAAAGCAAGGAUUAAGGUAUGGAUGCUUUCUUUGAGAAGUGUGAGCCUAUCAGGAGGUGGGGGGAAGAAAAACGGAAGAAGACACAGAAAGAUAUAAAGCAGUGCUAUGUGAUUCAUUACUGCACUUGCUAGUCCUUUAAUGAGUCACAGAGAGCUGUUGCGGGUCAUUCAGGUUCACUUGCUGAGGCUAUGAGACUUUUCUAGAAGGGCUACAAAGAACAACUACACAUCAUCAAAGUCUAUGGAAGGAAGAAAGAAAGUGGAUUUAUCUGCCCAGCUUGCUCCCAUCUCCCAUUUCCUGUUAGUUAAGGCUGACUCCAUGGAGAGCUAAUUCCCCUGCACUGCCACACUGUUUCAUCCAAAUCCCUGGAGGCCACUGGGGAAAUCAAAUUCUACACCUGCAGGAUGGAAUUCCAUCCAGGUCUGCAAGUCAAAGGAGUGACUCAGUGCAGUUGAGCUCUGGGUGUGAGGUACAUGGCUCAUGAAGUCCUGGGGUUUCAAAUUGGGGAGCCCUGCAAAGGGCUCAUGACUUCCCAUUAAGAUGUGACCCUCGUGAUUAAGGAGUGCACUUGUCAUGAUGAGCACGGGAUGAUGUAUGGAAGUGUUGAAUCACUAUACUGUACACCUGAAACCUGUAUAACACGGUAUGUCAACCAACUGGAAUUAAAAUGAAACAGAAAAAAAAAAGAUGUGCCUCUGAUCAAGCUGUUUCAGGGCAGUUCAAGUUGGAAUGCAUGCCAAUCAAUGACUACUAAAGGAACACUGUUAGCAAUUUGGUAUUAAAUUAAGCUCUGUGGAGGAUAUGAAGACAUUUAUACCUCAGUUCUUGCCCUUAAGAUAUCCAAACAUAUACAUAGAUCAGAGUUCUGGGCUACUAAGGCUGUUGGAAUUUCCAGGGCAGGGUACCUAUGAAGAGGGAGCUAGAUAGGGGCACCAGAAGUAUACAUAAGGAUUCACUGCAUCUCUGUGGCCAAUGAUUGAUGUAUGAGUUAUAUAUUGCAGCCAAACACCAAAACUUAGCAGCUUAAGACAACACACUUUCAUCUUCUUGCAGUUUCUGUGGCUUAGGAAUCCAUUCAUGGUCCCUCUCCUUCAGGAUUUUCACAAGGCUUGCAGCAGCCAGAGCUGUGUCUCACCUGAAGUCUCAACUGGGGAGGACACACUCCCAAAUUCAUUUACCUGGUUGUUGGCAAGAUUCAGUCCCUUAAGGACUGUUGGACCAAGGGCCUUAUUCCUUGUUUUGGCUACUGACUUGAGGUUGCCCUCAGUUCCUUGCCACACAGGCCUCUCCAAUAUGGUAGCUUGCUCAUGUAAGCCAGAAAGUCUGCUAGCAAGACAGAAGUCAUAACAUGCUAUAACCUAAUCACAGAAGUGAUAUGCCAUCACUCUUGCUGUAUUCUAUUGAUUAGAAGCAAGUCAUUAGAGGACCCACAAAUAUAUGGCCAACUAAUCUUCAACAAAGCAGGAAAGAAUACCCAAAGGAAAAAAAGACAGUCUCUUCAGCAAGUGGUGCUGGGAAAACUGAACAGUGACAUGCAGAAGAAUGAACCUGGACUACUUUCUUACACCAUACACAAAAAUAAAGUCAAAAUGGAUGAAAGACCUAAAUGUCAGACAGGAAACCAUCAAAAUCCUUGAGGAGAAAACAGGCAGCAACCUCUUUGACCUCAACCACAGCAACUUCUUACUAGACAUGUCUCUGGAGGCAAGGGAAACAAAAGCAAACAUGAAUUAUUAGGACCUCAUCAAGAUAAAAAGCUUCUGCAAAGCAAAGGAAACAAUCAACAAAACUAAAAGGCACCCUAUGGAAUGGGAGAAGAUAUUUGCAAAUGACAUAUCAGAUAAAGGGUUAGUAUCCAAAAUCUAUAAAGAACUUAUCAAACCUAACACCCAAAAAAACCCAAAAAACAAUCUAGUGAAGAAAUGGACAAAAGACAUGAGCAGAUACUUUUCCUAAGAAGACAUCCCGAUGGCUAAGAGACACAUGAAACGAUGCUCAGUAUCACUUAUCAUCCUGGAAAUACAAAUCAAAACCACAAUGAGAUACCACCUCACACCUGUCAGAAUGGCUAACAUUAACAACUCAAGCAACAACAGAUGUUGGCAAGGAAUGAGGAGAAAGAGGAAGCCUUUUGCACUGCUGGUGGGAAUGCAAACUGGUGCAGCCACUCUGGAAAAUAGUAUGGAGGUCCCUCAAAAACUUAAAAAUAGAGCUACUCUAUGACCCAGCAAUUGCACUACUAGGUAUUUAUCCAAAGGAUAUAAAAAUGCUGAUUCAAAGGGGCACAUGGACCCCAAUGUUUAUAGCAGCACCAUCAACAAUAGCCAAAUUAUGGGAAGACCCCAACUAUCCAUCAACUGACAAAUGAAGAAGAUGUGCUGUAUAUAUACAAUGUAAUAUUACUCAGCAAUCAAAAAGGAUGAAAUCUUGCCAUUUGCAACAACAUGGAUAGAACUAGAAUAUCUUAUGCUAAGUCAAAUGAGUCAAUCAGGGAAAGAUAAAUAUCAUAUGAUUUCACUCAUGUGGAACUUAAGAAAAAAAAGCAGAUGAACAUAGGGGAAGGGAAGGAAAAAUAAGAUAAAAACAGAAGAGGAGGCAAGCUACAAGAGACUCUUAAAAACAGAGAACAAACUGAAGGUUGCUGGUGGGGUGUUGGGUGGGGGGAUGGGCUCAAUGGGUGAUGGGAAUUAAGGAGGGCACUUGUUGGGAUGAGCACUGGGCGUUAUAUGUAAGUGAUGAAUCACUAAAUUCUCCUCCUGGAACCAUUAUUACACUAUAUGUUAACUAACUGGAUUUAAAUAAAAAAAAUUAUAAUGAAGGGAAUACAUUUACUAAAAUUGAACAUUCAUAUAUGAUUAUAAACAAAAAGUACUAUUUGCAACAUGUUAAAAAAAAAAAAAAGGAAGCAAGUCACUAGAGGCGCCUGGGUGGCACAGUUGGUUAAGUGUCUGACUCUUGAUUUUGGCUCAGGUCAUGAUCUCAGGAUCAUGAGAUGGAGCCCUGCAUUGGGCUCUGCACUGAGCAUGAAGCCUAUUUGAGAUUCUCUCUCUUCCUCUCUCUGUCUCUCGCUCUCUCUCUCUCUCAAAAGAAAAAAAAGAAAAGAAAGAAAGAAAGAAAAAAGAAAGAAAGAAAGGAAGGAAGAAAGAGAAAGAAAGGAAAAGAAGCAGCAGCAGCAAGUCACUGGGUCCAUCCCACACUCAAGGGGAGAGGAUUACAUAAGGGCAUGAAUACCAGGAGGUGGGGGUCCAUUGAGGGCCAUCUUGCAAGUCAGCUGUCCACCCUGAAGGGGGAUACAACUGGGAAGGCCCCAAAUAUUUAGAAAUUAAACAACACAUUUGUAAACAGACUAUGGCGGGGCGGGGGGGGGCAUCACAAGGAAAGUUGGAAAAUAUUUUAAACAGACUUGAUAGUGAAAAUGCAUCAUAGGAAAAUUUGUGAGCUGCGUCCAAAGCCGUAAUUAAAGGGAACGUUAUAACCUGAAAUGUUUAUUUGAAGGAUUAAGAAAGGUUUAAAAUCAAUGACAUAACUUGAUACCUAAAGAAGAUAGAAAAUGAUAAGCAAAUUGAACCUAAAAUACAAAGGCAAAUGUAAAAAUACAACAGAAAUCGAUAAAAAUACAAAAAUAAAUACAGAAAAUUAAGAAAACCAAAAAUGGAUUCCUGGAAAAGAUAACCACUGAUAAACCCUUAGCACAUCCUAAUCAAGAGAAAACACAAGUUACCAAUAUUAGUAUUGAAAGAGGGGAAAUCACUACAGGAACCACAACACUAAAAGCAUACAAAGAGAAUAAUAUCAGCAAUUUUAUGUCAAUAAAUUCAAUAACUUAGAUUAAAGGGGCAAAUUCCUUUAAAAACUCAACUCAUCAAGUAAUGGAAUUGGCACAUGACAGAAGCUUCCUCAGCCCUUGUUUGGCACAUGAUCUUAAACAGGGAAGGGAGAAUUACAAGAAAUGCUAAAGGAAGCUCUUCAGAAUAAAAGGAAAUGACACCACAUGGUAACUCAGAUCGACAGGAAAGAAUGAAAAGCACCAAAUAUGGUAGUAUGUGGAUGAAUAUAAAAACUAUAUGUUUUUCUUUCUCCUCUUAAUCUGUGUAAAAUUCACUUGACCUUUUAAAGCAAAAAUUAUGCCAUUGUGUUGUUAGAUUUAAUAUAUAUACAGGUAUUAUAUUAUUUCAUUUAUAAGACAUGUCCAGAAUAGGCAAAUCCAUAUAGACAAAAAAUAGAUGAGUAGCUGCCAGGGCUCGGGGAAGAGGGGAAAAGAGCAUGACCUCAAAUGGGUAUGGGGUGUCUUUUUGGAAUGAUGAAAAUGUUCUGGAAUUAAAUGAUGAUGGUGGUGGUUGCACAACUUUUUAAAUAUAACUUAAAAAAACACUGAGUUGUAUAUUUAAAAGGGUGAAUUUUAUGGUAUACGAAUCAUAUCUUAAAAAAUGUAUAUAGAGAUAAUAUAUAUGAUAAAGAUAGCAUAAAAAAACAUGGGGGGAAAUACAACUAUACUACCGCAAAAUUACUAUCUUUCUUGAAGUAAUUCAACAAAAAGUCUAAGAAGAUUGUGUUAAGUUAAAGAUGUAUGGUGUAAUCCCUAGAGCAAUCAAUAAAAAAUAAAUAAAAAGAGUUUAAAAAGCCAAGGUGAGGGGCAUCUAGGCAGCUCAGUAGGUUGAGCGUCUAACUUCAGCUCAGGUCAUGAUCUCACUGUGGGUUCCAGCCCUGCAUCAGGCUCUGUGCUGACAGCUCAGGUCCUGGAGCCUGCUUCAGAUUCUGUGUCUCCCUCUCUCCCUGCUCCUCCCCCACUCGCACUGUUUCUCUCUCUCUCUCAAAAAUAAAUAAACAUCUAAAACAAUUUUUUUUUUUUUUAAUCCAAGGUGAAGGGCGCCUUGGUGGCUCAGUCAGUUAAGUGUCCAACUCUUGGUUUUGGCUCACAGUUUUGUGAGUUCAAGCCCCACAUUGAUCUCCAAGCUGGCAGCAAGGAGCCUGCUUGGGAUUCUUUCUCUCUCCCUCCCUCCAUGCCCCUCCCCGCUUGCACUACCUCUGUCUCACUCAAAAUAAAUAAAUAAACUUAAAAAAAAAAAAAAAGGCAAGGUGAAAAGCUUCUGCUUCCAGUCAUGAAACAACUACUUUCAAAAAUUGGACAACAGGUAACACAGGACAGUGAUCCAUGAGAGGAGAGAAACAAUGAAGUGGGCACUAGACUUUCCCCAGCUUUUUGCCUGAAGGCAAAUUUGUGUCCACAGGUACAGGUAGAGGGAAUCAAACAGAGCCCAGUGACCUCACUGAAAUAAAAAUAUAGACAUUAGAGUUUAGGGAGACCAAGGCAGCUAGAAGUUGGAGGCCAGGGAUCUGGACUGGAGGGGAUCAUGCAAGAAGACAGAAUUUUGCAUAUAGCUCUACUUGAGUAUUUAAUGAGUACAGAGUUAGGCAUACAAAGAGUGAAAUUUCACAAAGUGAGGCCAAAAGUGACCAGAGUUGUAAACAUAAAAUUCCCCAGAGCUCAUACGUGGUACAAAGACAAAAGCUCUGACCAGCUAUGGUCGAGGGUCCUCAGUGAUCACCUGGGGAAUUAACAAACACCAUAAACUAUGAUUUCAACUACAGCAACUUGCAUAAAGGGUAAACCCUAAGCAAAUAAUAGUAAUAAUAAUAAUAUAAUAAUAAUAAUAAUAAUAAUAAUAAUAAUAAUAUUGAUGCGAACGAUUUCUAACUUAGGAAACUAGAUUUUUCUUUUUUCCUAAUAUAUGGAAACUCUCGCACAUUGCUGGUAAGAAUGUAAAAAAAUAGUACAGCCACUCUGGAAGACAGUUUAGUGGUUUCUUACAAAACUGAACAUAUUCUUAUUUUAUAUAUGUGUAUAUAGAUAGCAAUCAUACUCCUUGGUAUCUGACCAAAGGAGUUGAAAACUUACAUCCACAUAAAACCUUGCAUAGCAGGUUUGAAUAAACUUUAGCAGCCCUAUUCAUAAUUGCCAAAACUUGGAAGCAACCAAGAUGUCCUUCAGUAGGAGGACAUGAAUGGAUAGAUGAAUGGAUAAAUGGUGCUACAUCCAAACAACAGAAUAUUAAUAGCACUGAAAAGAAAUGAACUAUCAAGGCAUAAAAAGACAUGGAAGAACCUUAAACGCACACUACUAAGUGAAAGAAGCCAAUCGGAAAAGGCCACAUACUAUAUGAUUCCAACAUUCUAGAACAUCCCAACAUUCUGGAAAAGGCAAAACUGUGGAAACAGUAACAAAAUCAGUGUUGUGAGCGGCUAGUAAGGUGCAGGGGAGGGGGAGUUGGAGAGCAGUAGGAAUAGGCAGAGCACAGAUUUUUAGGGCAGUGAAAAUACUCUGUAUGCUACUAGAAUGUGGAUAUAUGUCAUCAGACAUUUAUCCAAACCCAUAAAACGUAUAACACCAAGACAGAAGCCUAACAUAAACCCUGGAUUUGGGUGAUUACGAUGUGUCAAUAUAAGUUCAUCAGUUGUCACAAAGGUACCACUCUGGAGGAGAAUAACCUAAUGGGGGAGGCUGUGUAUGUAUGAAGGCAGGGGCUAAGUGAGAAAUCUCUGUACCUUCCACUCAAAUUUUGCCAUGAACCUAGUGCUCUAAAAAAAUAAAAUCUAUUUUAUCUUUUCUAUCUCUAACCUAAAAAUUGUAUUAAGAAUCUACCUCACAGAUACACCUAUGUACACAAAACUUUUUAAGGAAUUUUAUUCCAAUAUUUUUACAGCAAGACCUCGGGAACAUUCUUAGUACUCAUUAGUAUUGGGUUGGUUAAAUCAAUUAUGCUGCAUCCACAUAAUAGAAUAUAAAGCAAUCAUUUAAAAGAAUAAGACACUAUGGAAAACAGUAUGGCGUUCCUCAGAAAUUAAACACAGAAUUGCCAUAUGAUCCAACAAUUCCAUUUCUGGGUCUCUACCCAGAAGAAUUGAAACAGGGACUCAAACUAGUACUCGUACACUCAUGUUCAUGGCAGCAUUAUUCAGAGUAGCCAAAAAGCGGAAGCAAUCUAAGUGUUCAUGGUCAGAUGAAUGGAUAAACAAAAUAGGGUAUAUGCCUACAAUGGAAUAUUAUUCAGCCUUAAAAGAGAAAGAAAUUUGGACACACGCUGCAACACUGAUGAACCUUAAAGACAUUAUGCUAACUGAAGUUAAAACAUUAAGCCAGUCAUGAAAGGACAAACACUGUAUCAUUCUAAUUGUAUGAGGUAUCAAGAGUAGUUAAAUUCCUUUUUUUAAGUUUAUUUAUUUAUUUUGAGACAGAGCAGGGAAGGGGCAGAGAGACAGAGGGAGAGACAGAAUCCCAAGUAGGUUCCAUGCUCCAUUCCCAUUGCAGAGCCCCACGUGGGGCUUGAACUCACGAACCGCGAUAUCAUGACCUGAACCAAAACCAAGAGUUUGUUGCUUAACCAACUGAGCCACCCAGGUGCCCCUGGAGUAGUUCAAUUAUUUUUUUUUCCUUUUUUAUGUUUAUUUAUUUAUUUUGAGAGAAAGAGAGCUCGAGCAGGGAAGGGGCAGAGAGAGAGGGAGAGACAGAAUCUCAAGCAGGCUCUGAACUGUCAACGCAAAGUUUGACACAGGGCUCAAUCCCACAAACUGUGAGAUCAUUACCUGAGUGGUAAUCAAGAGUCAGAGGCUUAACCAACUGAGCCAUCCAGUCGUUCCUAGAGUAGUUAAAUUCUUUUUAUUUUUAUUUUUAUGACUUACAUUAUAGUUUUAUUGAGCAGUGUUUGUCUACAGCAAGAGGAAGACAAAAGUUAGGAGGACUGGGGAUAGUUUUUAGGUUAGCCAACAGUAGCAUUGGCCUCAUUCAUACUGUCUGUGUCAUCUGUACGUGUAGAAUAUACCUCUUAUCUCACCUGUUACCUGGUACAGAGCAGUGCUCAAUGAAUCUUAACUAUGAUUUGCUGUUUAGAGUAGUUAAAUUCUUAAGAGACAGAAACUAGAACAGUGAUUUCCAGGGGUUGGGAGGAGGAGAGAAUGGUGAAUUAGUGUUUAGUGAAUGUGGGAUUUCAGUUUAGGAAGAUGAAGAAGUCUGGAGAUAGAUGAUGGUGAUGGUUGUACAACAAUGUGAAUGUACUUAAUACCAUUGAAAUGUAUACUUGCACAUCAUUAAAGCGGUAAAUUUUAGGUUAUGUGUAUUUUGCCACAAUGACAAAAUACUACUCCAAUAUAAAAUCAUUUAAUGAUGCAACUACUAAGCUCAGAGACAGAAAAGAAGAAGGGGGGGGAGGAGGAAGAAGAGGAAGAGGAAGGAGAAAAAGGAGACAGUUCUGUGUGAACAAUGAUGAAUAUUUUUAUUUUUUUUUAUUUUUUUUUAACGUUUAUUUAUUUUUGAGACAGAGAGAGACAGAGCAUGAAUGGGGGAGGGGCAGAGAGAGAGGGAGACACAGAAUUGGAAGCAGGCUCCAGGCUCUGAGCCAUCAGCCCAGAGCCCAACGCGGGGCUUGAACUCACGGACCGCGAGAUCGUGACCCGAGCUGAAGUUGGACACUUAACUGACUGAGCCACCCAGGUGCCCCAAUGAUGAAUAUUUUUAAUGAAGAAAAGUGAGGGCAUGACAAUGUGAAUAACAUCUUACCAUUAGCAUAAACAAACAAACCCAAAUAUUCGUGUGUGUGUGUGUGUGUAUGUGUAUCUGUCAACAAGAGCUAUUUGUAAAUACAAAAUAUAAACAUACCUAUAUGAUUAAAUAUGAUAGAAUAUUUGUGAAAGGAUGCACAGUAGCUUGUAGAGUCAAGCCUCUUCAGGGGAGUACUGGUUGGCUCGAAGUUAUGGUAUCAGAAAAGUAAUUUUUAAAUAUACAUCCUUUUCCAAUCCUUUGAAUUUUGAACCAUGUGCAUAUAUUAACCAUUCAAACGUUCUAAAAAUAUGUUUUUAAUAAGAAUUUGUGCAGUACCUUUGCAGGAUGCAUGCAUAGGAUUUAUUAAGGCCGAAAGGAAACACAGCAGCCUGGCUGAUGAAAUAAAUUGCACGAAGAGGUAGAAAUGGAAACUUCCACGUUGUUUCUGAAGCCAGGCAAACAAAUCAUUUGGACUCCCUGAGCUUAACCAAGAAGGCACAAUGGGAUGAUCCUCCAGGUGGGAUGAUUGAUGGGGACCAGGCUGUAAGGGGCUGGCAGAUUGGAGUUUAUCCAGGGGGCAAAACAGAACCCUGAGAAAGACUCUGGCAGGGAAACAAGACAAAAGAAAAGGGGAUUGAAGGAAGAGAAAUCCAGCAGCAGCGUGGGCUUAACCCCCAGGGUGUGAGUGGGCACUUGCCUGGGGUUUGGCAGAUUGAAAAUAGCAGAAAAUAGGACAGACAAAAUCAAACAAUGAGGGCAGCAGAACUCUACAGAAGAGGUCUGAGCCAGAGGAGGGGGUAACAGAGGUAGACAGAAAGAUCCAAGGGCAAGACCUUGGGAAGGAGGGAAGAAGGGUGUGGUUUCUUAUCCCGUUGCUGGUUUUGAAAGCUGGCCAUGCCUCAGAUUCACCUAAAGAAUGUUUUUUAAAAUACUGAGUCCUAGUUUUGGGGCGCCUGGGUGGCUCAGUCGGUUAAGCGUCCGACUUCGGCUCAGGUCAUGAUCUCGCGGUUUGUGGGUUCGAGCCCCGCGUCGGGCUCUGUGCUGACUGCUCAGAGGCUGGAGCCUGUUUCAGAUUCUGUGUCUCCCUCUCUCUCUGACCCUCCCCCGUUCAUGCUCUGUUUCUCUCUGUCUCAAAAAUAAAUAAACACUUAAAAAAAUUUUUUUUCUAAAUACUGAGUCCUAGUUCCUAUACUAGAUUUACAUAAUUGGUUUAAUCAACCGAGCCACUCGGGUGUCUCCCCCCCACCCUGCUUUUUUUUAAUGUUCAUUUAUUUAUUUUUGAGAGAGAGAGAGAGAACACAAGUUGGGGAGGGACAGAGAGGUAGACACAGAAUCUGAAGCAGGCUCCAGGCUCUGAGCCAUCAGCACAGAGCCCCAAACAGGGCUCAAACACACCAACUGUGAGAUCAUGACCUGAGCCAGAUUCAGAUGCUUACAAAUCUAUAGAAUUGGAAGUGGAGUGGAUGGGGGAGGCAGUAAAAACUUAGAUAUUUAUACUAUCUCCACCAUUAGCACCCUAGUCCAAACCACCAUCAUCUCUUGCCCAAAAUAUGGCACAUGUAUAUACUGGGUUCCCAUUUCCAUCCCCGGCCCUCUCCUAUAGUGUAUACUCUUCCUCAGGACAGCCAGAGGAAUCCUUUAAAACCCAAAGUUAGAUCUUGUCAGUUAUCUGCUCAAAACUUUCAGUGUCUUCUUAUCUCACUUAGUGUAGGAUCCUAAAUCCUUCCAGUGGCCUAGAGGUCCAUCUUAAUUUGCACCCAGCCUCCAGCUUCCACCUCUCACCUCCUAAGUCUCCCUCCACCCCAACUUACUGAUUGUUAGUCACUGGCCUUAUUGCUGUUUUUUCUUUUCUUUUCUUUUCUUUUCUUUUCUUUUCUUUUCUUUUCUUUUAAGUUUAUUUAUUUUGAGAGACAGAGAGAAAGCACGAGCAUGGGAAGGGUAGAAAGAGAGAGAGAGAGAAAGAGUCUCAAGCAGCCUCCACACUCUCAGCACAGAGCCCAAUGCAGGGCCCGAACUCAUGAACCAUAAGAUCAUGACCUGAGCUGAAACUACGAGUUGGACGCUUAACCAACUAAGUCACCCAGGCACCCCCUUAUUGCUGUUUCUUGGAAAAGAACAAUAAAAUAAAAUAAGCAUGCUCUUAUCUCAGGUCCUUUGCACAUACUAUUCCUUCUGCAUAAUGGCUCUUUACCCAGAUGUCCCCCCAGAUAUCCACAUAUCUUCUUCCCUCACUUCCUUUAGGCCCCUUAUCAGAGGUCUUCGCUGACCCCCUGUCUAAAAUAACAUGUCUCCAUUCCCAUCACCUCUAUGACCCUCACUCCACUUAAUUUUUUUAUGGCACUCGUGACCAUCUGACAUACAUUUAUGUGUGUAUUUGUCACUUAUCUAUGACCCUCAUUCUGUUUUAUUUUCCUUCAUAGCACUUGUGACCAUCGGAAAUAUGUUAAUGUGUCUCUUUAUCACUUAUCUUCCCACGCUCAAGUGUAAGCUCCAUGUGAGCCAGAAUUUUUUUGUUCACUGUUGUAUCCCCAUGUUUAGAGAAUGUGUUAGCACUAAAACAUAUGAGAAACAUAACCAAUAUUUUUAAUAAAUAAAACUGUUUAUAAGUUCCCCCAAAUGAGUCUUACACAGCCACCCUGGUGUGCAACUACUGGUGUAGCUAAUAUGAAGUAAACUCUCAAAUAUUAAAAUGUGGAUUUGGCUCAGCAUGUCUCUCAAUUGGCACUGCUUUCAUUGACAUCCAGGGAACAGACACCACACAAGACUAUCCUUUGAAAGCUAUGCCUGGGGUAGGGCACCUGCUCUGGGCACAUCAGGAAGCAGAAGUUCUGCUCAUUUUGUUCCCUGUCUGUUCUCUGAGGCACCUACUGUUGUCAUCUGGGUGGAAACAAGACUGCAUCACUGAAGCCCUCGGGAAGCAGGAUAUGCCAGUCAUCACAGGAGCCACAGAGUCUGAAGAAUUCAGAACUUGCUGAGUGCUACUUUCUUUGGCUGUGAAAUUCAUCUUUUGGAUUUUCAUUUUCUAAUUUGAUGGUCUUAGAACUUAAAUCACAUGUCAGAAAUAACACAACAAAGAAUAGAAUCGUGCUGAAUAGCAGUUAAAGGGACAACCGGAUAAAUAAUACUUUCUAUGCAUUAGAACGUCAUCAUUUAUAAAAGGUUUCCACAUAUCUUAUCACACCUUGAACCUCUCAACAGCCCUGUGAUGGAGACAGUCCUGGCAUCGAGGCCCCUACUUUGUAGAUAAGGAAACUGGGUGUCAUAAAAUUGGUUGUCUUGUCAAUUAAAAAAUGAUCCAAAGACUUUGACAGCUCACCAAAGAAGGUAUUCUGAUGGCAAAUAGCAUAUGAGAAGAUGCUCUGUGUAAUCGGUCAUCAGGGAAAUGGAAUUGAAAACAACAAUGAGAUUCCACUACAGCCUGUUAGAGUGACCAAAAUCCAGAACACUGACAUCAAAUGGCUGAUGAGGAUGUGGAGAAACAGGAACUCUCACUCAUUGUGGAUGAGAAUGCAAAAUUGCACAACCACUUUGGAAAAGUGAACAUAGAAAACUAAACAUACUCUUAUCAUAUGAUCAAGCAAUUAUGUUCCUUGUUAUUUACCCAAAGGAUUUGAAAACUUGUGUCCACACCAAAACCUGCACACAAAUGUUUAUAGUAGUUUUAUUCAUAAUUGUCAAAACCUGGAAGUAACCAAGAUGUUCUUCUGUAGGUGAAUGGAUAAAUAAUCAGUGGUACAUCCAGACAAUGGAAUAUUAUCCAGCACUAGAAAGAAAUAAGCUAUUAAACCAUACAAAGACAAGAAGGGACCUUAAACACUACUAAGUGAAAGAAGACAAUCUGAAAAGGCUAUAUAUCAUAUGAUUCCAACUAUAAGACAUUCCAGAAAAGGCAAAACUAUGGAAACAGUAAUAAGAUCAGUGUUGUCAGGGGUUAGCAGGGAGGGAGGGAUCAACAGGUAAAACACAGAGGAUUUUCAGGGCAGUAAAAAUAUUCUGUAUGAUACUAUAAUGAUGGAUUCAUGUCAUUAUACAUUUAUCCAAACCCAUAGAAUUUACAACACCAAGAGAAAACUCUAAUGUACACUAUGGAUUUGGGGUGAUUAUGAUGUGUCAGUGAAGAUCCAUGCCAUUUCAUCUGAUGCCUUUCACAAAUGAGUCCUAACUCCCUCUUCCAAGUUCAUUUUGCAGUUUCAGUCUGCUCAACUAUGGAUUAUAUUCCCAGAAGUCCCCAGACUUCCCUGCACCUUUUUUACACAAUGCUCUUUUUUUUUCUAUUUAUUUAUUUUCAGAGAGACAGAGAGAGACAGAGCAUAGAUAGCAAGAGUGGGGGAGGUGCAGAAAAAGAGAGAGAACAGGUUCUGCACUGUCAGCAUAGAGCCCGAUGGGAGGCUUGAUCUCAUGAGCCAUGAGAUCAUGACCUGAGCUGAAAUCAAGAGUCUGAUGCUUAACUGACUGAGCCACCUAGGUGCCCCUAUGCAGUGUUCUUUCUUCAUGAGAUAUUCUUACUGUUUUCUCCAUCCAGCAGACUUGUACUCACCUGCACUAGUAGCUACAGGUUAGGUUGUGCUGUUGAAACAAACAACAAACUCUUUAUAAUCACUCUAGUGAUAUAAAACUCAAGGUUUAUUUCUCAAUCAUACUACCUCUCCGUCAUGAGUCAGCUGGGGGUUCUGCUGAGUCUUUCUUACUCAGAAACCAAGGCUUAUAGAGCAGUCUGAUUUGCAGUGUUGUCAGGCACUGGGGCAGGGAAAAAGAGAGAGACAGAGAGAGAGAGAGCACGCCAGAGAGAGAGAGCCAAAUUGAGCAUGGGUUUUUAAAGCUUCCAUUCAGAAAUAGCAUACAUCAAUUCCAGUCACUUUCACUGAUCACAUCACAAGCGUGGGUUCAGGCAGGGAGUCCACAGAUAGUUGGAUCUAAUUAUGUUUGGAAUAUGCCAGAAAAGUAUAAUUGAGUGAGGGUUAAGGAAGGAGUAUUGAAAAUAAUGGGCUUGGGGUCUAAUCUGGGUAAGAAGAGAAGUGAGGUCAUAAUGUGUUUGACAGUGGUGGGGUCAAUGAGUUGGAGACCUCUAUAAUACUGAAGGUGAAUGGUCUCUGGAGGAAUUCCAUGUUUAUUGGGAAAGACAUGUAAACAGGCUUGGACGGAGGGCAAAAUUCAAUCCACAAUAACUACUAAUUUUGUUUAUUUAAAUAUACCUAUUUUUAAAUUUUUUAUUUUUUCCCCAACUAAAUUGUAAGGUCCAUGAGAGCAGAGACCUUGUCUAUCUUUCUAACCAUUAUAUCCAAAAUGGCGAGAACGAAGCCCAGCACAUAGUAGCUGAUCAGCAAAAAGCUGAAAACGAAUGAGCGAGGGAACAGGUGGAGGAGUAGGUUUCUUUUACUUCCAAGGGCUCCUGAGAAAAGCUGGUAAGUGACCCAGUCACCCUGGCCUAAUAGAUCAAUUCCAAAGAUGCUACCAUCACUUUCUUUCUUUCCCAUAGGCCUGCACCUUUCUUCCAUUAAGUGUAGCUUAUUUCUCUUUCUUUUGAAUCUAAGCACACCCUAGGACUGCUCUCAUCAAUAAAAUGCAAUAAAAGUAUAUAUAUUCUGGGAUCUCUUGGCCCAGGACUUAAAAGGACUACAAACUUCUAUUUCCUUUCUCUUGGAACUCAGAGACCAUGAUGCAGAAACAAGCCACACGGAGAGGCUAUAUGGAGGAGAAUUCAAGUCCUUUCUUUGGCAGCUCCGGCCGGCACCAACCACCAGUCAUAUGAAUGAGCCAUCUUGGACGUUUCAGCCCAGUCUUACCUCUGCAGCCCCAAUAACAUCACACAGAACAAAACAACCUCUCAGCUAAGAUAAUUGACCAACAAAAUUGUGAAAAAUAAUACAAUAGUAGUAGUCUUAAGCCAUUAAGUUGGGGGUGAUUUGUUGCACAGGGACAGAUAACAAACAGAAUUUGGCACCUAGUCACAUGAUGGUCUAUAAGAAAAACCUAAAACAUGAAGGACUGGCUUUGAGAGCAAAUAGUGGGGGGAGGCCCGAAGAUUCUCAAAAGGCUAUUGGUGAAGACUGGCAGAGCAGUGAGGACAUCACUAUUGGAUGCUGGAGUAAAGGGGAUACCAUUUAUAUACCAGGAGAAAUUUUAUUACAACUGUCGCUGGUGUUAACAUUACAAAUAGAAAUGGUGC